rnacentral:rRNA from 1 species
UACGGGGGGGGCAAGCGUUGUUCGGAAUUACUGGGCGUAAAGGGCUCGUAGGCGGCCAACUAAGUCAGACGUGAAAUCCCCAGGCUCAACCUGGGAACUGCGUCUGAUACUGGAUGGCUUGAAUCCGGGAGAGGGAUGCAGAAUUCCAGGUGUAGCGGUGAAAUGCGUAGAUAUCUGGAGGAAUACCGGUGGCGAAGGCGGCAUCCUGGACCGGCAUUGACGCUGAGGAGCGAAAAGCUAGGGGGAGCAAACGGGG